rnacentral:rRNA from 1 species
AGGACGAACGCUGGCGGCGUGCUUAACACAUGCAAGUCGAGCGGUAAGGCUCCUUCGGGAGUACACGAGCGGCGAACGGGUGAGUAACACGUGAGCAAUCUGCCCUUCACAUCGGAAUAAACCUCGGGAAACCGGGGCUAAUACCGGAUACGACCAUCGGUGGCAUCAUCUGAUGGUGGAAAGUUCCGGCGGUGAAGGAUGAGCUCGUGGCCUAUCAGCUUGUUGGUGGGGUAAUGGCCUACCAAGGCGACGACGGGUAGCCGGCCUGAGAGGGUGACCGGCCACACUGGGACUGAGACACGGCCCAGACUCCUACGGGAGGCAGCAGUGGGGGAAUAUUGGACAAUGGGCGAAAGCCUGAUCCAGCAACGCCGCGUGAGGGAUGACGGCCUUCGGGUUGUAAACCUCUUUCAGCAGGGACGAAGCGAAAGUGACGGUACCUGCAGAAGAAGCACCGGCCAACUACGUGCCAGCAGCCGC